rnacentral:rRNA from 1 species
UUUUACCGUGCAAGGUAGCAUAAUCCAUUGUCUUUUAAUUAAAGGCUAGUAUGAAUGGUUGGAUGAGAUAUUAACUAUUUUUAUUUUAAUAAAAAUGAAUUUUAAUUUUUAGUAAAAAUGCUAAAAUAAAAAAAUUAGACGAGAAGACCCUAUAAAUCUUUAUUUUUAAAUAAUAAUAUUAAUUUUGUAAAUUUUUUAAUAAUUAUUUUUUAAAAAUUUUAUUGGGAGGAUAAUGAAAUUUAAUAAACUUUUAUUUUAAUUUAUAAAUAUAAUUAAAUUAAUGAAUAUAUUAUAAUGUUUAAAAAAUUAAGUUACUUUAGGGAUAACAGCGUAAUUAUUUUAAAGAGUUCUUAUCGAUAAAAUAGUUUGCGACCUCGAUGUUGAAUUAAGAAUUAACUGACGUGCAGAAAUUAACU